GAUGAACGCUGGCGGCGUGCCUAAUACAUGCCAGUAGAACGCUGAAGGCAGGAGCUUGCUCUUUCCGGAUGAGUUGCGAACGGGUGAGUAACGCGUAGGUAACCUGCCUGGUAGCGGGGGAUAACUAUUGGAAACGAUAGCUAAUACCGCAUAACAGUAGAUGUUGCAUGAUAUCUACUUAAAAGGUGCAAUUGCACCACUACCAGAUGGACCUGCGUUGUAUUAGCUAGUUGGUGAGGUAACGGCUCACCAAGGCGACGGUACAUAGCCGACCUGAGAGGGUGAUCGGCCACACUGGGACUGAGACACGGCCCAGACUCCUACGGGAGGCAGCAGUAGGGAAUCUUCGGCAAUGGACGGAAGUCUGACCGAGCAACGCCGCGUGAGUGAAGAAGGGUUUCGGAUCGUAAAGCUCUGUUGUAAGAGAAGAACGAGUGUGAGAGUGGAAAGUUCACACUGUGACGGUAUCUUACCAGAAAGGGACGGCUAACUACGUG
rnacentral:rRNA from 1 species